rnacentral:rRNA from 1 species
GAUGAACGCUGGCGGCGUGCUUAACACAUGCAAGUCGAACGAAGCAUUUGCGACAGAUUUUUUCGGAAUGAAGUUGCUUAUGACUGAGUGGCGGACGGGUGAGUAACGCGUGGGUAACCUGCCUUGUACUGGGGGAUAGCAGCUGGAAACGGCUGGUAAUACCGCAUAAGCGCACAAUGUUGCAUGACAUGGUGUGAAAAACUCCGGUGGUACAAGAUGGACCCGCGUCUGAUUAGCUAGUUGGUGAGAUAACAGCCCACCAAGGCGACGAUCAGUAGCCGACCUGAGAGGGUGACCGGCCACAUUGGGACUGAGACACGGCCCAGACUCCUACGGGAGGCAGCAGUGGGGAAUAUUGCACAAUGGAGGAAACUCUGAUGCAGCGACGCCGCGUGAGUGAAGAAGUAAUUCGUUAUGUAAAGCUCUAUCAGCAGGGAAGAUAGUGACGGUACCUGACUAAGAAGCGCCGGCUAAAUACGUG